AGGCUGGUCUCAAACGCCUGGCCUAAGCGAUCCACCCACCUUGGCCUCCCAAAGUGCUGGGAUUACAGGCGUGAGCCCCUGCACCUGACCUAUUUUACUUUUUAUAGCUUUUAUCUCUGCCUGACAUUAAAUGCCAUAUCAGGUUUUUUUUAUUAUUAUUAUUGCCCAUCUCCCUCCAAUAGGAUUUAGCCCAACAAAGGAAAGGAUGUCUCUGUGCAAACAGCCUGGUACAUAGUCCAUGCUUGACAAAUAUUUGUUAAAUGAUUGAAUGGCUUGGAAAAACCCAGAUGAAUGAGGUGAGGAGGGUGGGGACGGGUAUCCAAGCACAGGGAACAGCCUAUGGAAAGGUCUGGAGCUUCUCCGAUCCACCUGCCUCCUCUCCUGCAUGGAAGCCUAGGUGCUUUUUUUUUCUGAGACAGAGUCUCACUCUGUCACCCAGGCUGGAGUGCAGUGGUGUGAUCUCGGCUCACAGCAACCUCUGACUUCCGGGCUUAAGUGAUUCUGCGUGAGCCACCACGCCUGGCCACCUGGGUGUUCUUUCUAGGGUCAGGAAUUAAGGGGACAUUUGGUCCUUUCUCCCCAAGAACAACCUCUCCAGGCCCAGCCAGAGCCAACUCCAGGCCUUGACAGGCCGGCACAGGAAGCCACACCCUGAGCAAAUAUGACGGCCCCCUCUGCCUCGCCCAAGAUAAGGGGAGGUUGAAAGGGGUUUGGAAACCUGCUUCAGCCUAAGACAUUAGCUCCAGCCAAACCCUCAGUCUCAAGGCCUCCCCACCCCUGCCCAGAGAGGACAGGACAAGGAUUCUGCCACGGAGGCCCAAGUCUGACGUUUACAUCUAAUAUAUAUUGAUGAUGUCAGUGGUGGGCAGGGUCUUGAAGAGCAGAUAAAGGAGUUCCCAGCCUCCCUCCCGCUCCCAAGGAAACUAAGUGACUGGUGAGACAAGAGGGCUGGGCGGGCAAGGGGUGACCCUGACCAAACAAGGUCAUAGACCCGUGUCCCCAGAUGGCUGUGCAGAGAAGAUAAGACUCAUCUGCUCCAAUCUUAUGAGGCAAUGGCCCGGGGCCUCAGUUUACUUGUCUGCAAAAUGGGUUUUCUUGGGGGUGGGCAGCGGGGAGAUGGAUAACAGGAAAAGCUGAAGCUGUCAAAAAGAAUAAUGGGCCAG
rnacentral:lncRNA from 10 species